rnacentral:SRP_RNA from 1 species
UGACAGAUUCUGUGCUAUGUGUAUUCACCCAACCCCGUCAGGACCGGAAGGUAGCAGCGGUAAGUGAACUAUGCAUGAGACGCAGGCGAUUUGUCGGCU